AGAAUAAGCCCAUAUCAAGUAACAGAUGGGAUAAUUUUAUCGGCGCUGGUAUACAAGAAGGUUUCGUGAACAGCACAACAGAUGAUGGUGGAACAAUAAACAAUUCCAAAGUGACAGGAAACAAAAAAAAUUUACAUUUUAGCAAUAACGACAUUCUUAACAAACCAAAGCGAAUUGUUCAUGAAACUAAAGUGCAUUUUGAGGUUCGAAAAAGAGGAGGACGAUGUGUUGCUGUUAACAUCAACGUCAUUGAUACUCCCGAACAAACGGUAAGUUGUUGAAAGAAUAUUUUCCAUGUGGAAUCCCGAACUCUGAACUCCACUAUGAU
rnacentral:lncRNA from 1 species